rnacentral:misc_RNA from 1 species
UCGAACCCUGCAACGCAGAACGACCCGUGAACAUGUACUUUCAACUUGGUGCCGGUGAGAGGAGCCUCAAGGUCCUGAUUACCAACACCUUAUGGUGUGUUUUCAUGGUGUUGCUAUCGUGGUACCAUGGAUGACCCAUCAGAUUUAACAAACCCCGGCACAGCAUGUGCCAAGGAAAACAAAAUAUGAGAAGGUAUCAACCUGAUUUGCCCCGAUUUACGGUGUGCAUGAUGGUUGUAUCCUCCUUGAAUUUAACAACGACUCUCGGCAACGGAUAUCUCGGCUCACGCAUCGAUGAAGAACGUAGCAAAAUGCGAUACUUGGUGUGAAUUGCAGAAUCCCGUGAACCAUCGAGUUUUUGAACGCAAGUUGCGCCCGAAGCCAUCCGGUUGAGGGCACGCCUGCCUGGGCGUCACGCAUCGCGUCGCCCCCCAUCAAACAUCCCUCACGGGUAAGUCUGGUGAUGGGGCGGAAAUUGGCCUCCCGUUCUUGCGUGCGGUUGGCCUAAAUAGGAGUCCCCUUCGGUGGAUGCACAACUAGUGGUGGUUGAAUAGACCCUCGUCUUCUGUUGUGUGUCAUGAGCUGUUAGGGAAGGCCUUAUAUAAGACCCCGCGGUAUCGUUAUUAACGAUAUAUCGAC